ensembl:rRNA 5S_rRNA 5S ribosomal RNA
AUCUACGGCAAUACCACCCUGAACGCGCCCGAUCUCAUCUGAUCUCGGAAGCUAAGCAGGGUUGGGCCUGGUUAGUAAUUGGAUGGCAGACCACCUGGGAAUACCGGCUGCUGUAGGCU